GACGAACGCUGGCGGCGUGCCUAAUACAUGCAAGUCGAGCGAACGGACGAGAAGCUUGCUUCUCUGAUGUUAGCGGCGGACGGGUGAGUAACACGUGGAUAACCUACCUAUAAGACUGGGAUAACUUCGGGAAACCGGAGCUAAUACCGGAUGAUAUUUUGAACCGCAUGGUUCAAAAGUGAAAGACGGUCUUGCUGUCACUUAUCGAUGGAUCCGCGCUGCAUUAGCUAGUUGGUAAGGUAACGGCUUACCAAGGCAACGAUGCAUAGCCGACCUGAGAGGGUGAUCGGCCACACUGGAACUGAGACACGGUCCAGACUCCUACGGGAGGCAGCAGUAGGGAAUCUUCCGCAAUGGGCGAAAGCCUGACGGAGCAACGCCGCGUGAGUGAUGAAGGUCUUCGGAUCGUAAAACUCUGUUAUUAGGGAAGAACAUAUGUGUAAGUAACUGUGCACAUCUUGACGGUACCUAAUCAGAAAGCCACGGCUAACUACGUG
rnacentral:rRNA from 1 species